UCCAAGUAUGUAUAUAGUAUAUUUACUAUAUAAUAUAGACAUCCCAUUGUAGCUAUUUCAUUGUGUACUCACUUUUAAUGGAAAAGUACACACGUUGGGGUAACGCAAACAAAGAACUAGAAUCCGAAGAGAAGCCAAACUCAACUUGGCGGAGCAAAAAUGUCAAAAAAGCUGACAAAUUUAGCAAAAAUAAUUGCCCGAAAUUGUCGAAGCAAAAAAAGCGACGCCAGAAGGAGAAGGCAGCUAAAAAACGAGAAAUAAAAAAACAAAACCCAUGAUGUCGGCCGAAAUCGCCGAUCGCUGCGCCCAAAUAAGUACGCAGCCCAUGGGGGGUAUACAUGGGCUUCACGCCCCCUCCCCUCCCCGCUCACCACUCACCACCCAGCAACAUAGCCCCCCCUUUUAGCGGGGGCAGAAACAACAAGUUGAGCCGACCGAUCGAUCGUAUGAAACCCGAAAUGCCGAAAAACAGCAAGAGAUUCGCUAAGGGAGCCAAAAAAAAUCAUUCGAUUUUCGGCAUCUUAAGUUUUUG
ensembl:ncRNA lncRNA:CR44621 long non-coding RNA:CR44621